rnacentral:pre_miRNA from 1 species
AGAGGAAUAGCUGGGUCAAAUGAUGGUUCCAUUCCUAGUUUUUCAAGGAAUCUCCAUACUGCUUUCCAUAUUGGCUGCACCAAUUUGCAGUCCCACCAGCAAU